rnacentral:rRNA from 1 species
GGUUAAGCGACUAAGCGUACACGGUGGAUGCCCUGGCAGUCAGAGGCGAUGAAGGACGUGCUAAUCUGCGAUAAGCGUCGGUAAGGUGAUAUGAACCGUUAUAACCGGCGAUUUCCGAAUGGGGAAACCCAGUGUGAUUCGUCACACUAUCAUUAACUGAAUCCAUAGGUUAAUGAGGCGAACCGGGGGAACUGAAACAUCUAAGUACCCCGAGGAAAAGAAAUCAACCGAGAUUCCCCCAGUAGCGGCGAGCGAACGGGGAGGAGCCCAGAGCCUGAAUCAGUGUGUGUGUUAGUGGAAGCGUCUGGAAAGGCGCGCGAUACAGGGUGACAGCCCCGUACACAAAAAUGCACAUGCUGUGAGCUCGAUGAGUAGGGCGGGACACGUGGUAUCCUGUCUGAAUAUGGGGGGACCAUCCUCCAAGGCUAAAUACUCCUGACUGACCGAUAGUGAACCAGUACCGUGAGGGAAAGGCGAAAAGAACCCCGGCGAGGGGAGUGAAAAAGAACCUGAAACCGUGUACGUACAAGCAGUGGGAGCACAGAGCAAUCUGUGUGACUGCGUACCUUUUGUAUAAUGGGUCAGCGACUUAUAUUCUGUAGCAAGGUUAACCGAAUAGGGGAGCCGAAGGGAAACCGAGUCUUAACUGGGCGUUAAGUUGCAGGGUAUAGACCCGAAACCCGGUGAUCUAGCCAUGGGCAGGUUGAAGGUUGGGUAACACUAACUGGAGGACCGAACCGACUAAUGUUGAAAAAUUAGCGGAUGACUUGUGGCUGGGGGUGAAAGGCCAAUCAAACCGGGAGAUAGCUGGUUCUCCCCGAAAGCUAUUUAGGUAGCGCCUCGUGAAUUCAUCUCCGGGGGUAGAGCACUGUUUCGGCAAGGGGGUCAUCCCGACUUACCAACCCGAUGCAAACUGCGAAUACCGGAGAAUGUUAUCACGGGAGACACACGGCGGGUGCUAACGUCCGUCGUGAAGAGGGAAACAACCCAGACCGCCAGCUAAGGUCCCAAAGUCAUGGUUAAGUGGGAAACGAUGUGGGAAGGCCCAGACAGCCAGGAUGUUGGCUUAGAAGCAGCCAUCAUUUAAAGAAAGCGUAAUAGCUCACUGGUCGAGUCGGCCUGCGCGGAAGAUGUAACGGGGCUAAACCAUGCACCGAAGCUGCGGCAGCGACGCUUAUGCGUUGUUGGGUAGGGGAGCGUUCUGUAAGCCUGCGAAGGUGUGCUGUGAGGCAUGCUGGAGGUAUCAGAAGUGCGAAUGCUGACAUAAGUAACGAUAAAGCGGGUGAAAAGCCCGCUCGCCGGAAGACCAAGGGUUCCUGUCCAACGUUAAUCGGGGCAGGGUGAGUCGACCCCUAAGGCGAGGCCGAAAGGCGUAGUCGAUGGGAAACAGGUUAAUAUUCCUGUACUUGGUGUUACUGCGAAGGGGGGACGGAGAAGGCUAUGUUGGCCGGGCGACGGUUGUCCCGGUUUAAGCGUGUAGGCUGGUUUUCCAGGCAAAUCCGGAAAACUAAGGCUGAGGCGUGAUGACGAGGCACUACGGUGCUGAAGCAACAAAUGCCCUGCUUCCAGGAAAAGCCUCUAAGCAUCAGGUAACAUCAAAUCGUACCCCAAACCGACACAGGUGGUCAGGUAGAGAAUACCAAGGCGCUUGAGAGAACUCGGGUGAAGGAACUAGGCAAAAUGGUGCCGUAACUUCGGGAGAAGGCACGCUGAUAUGUAGGUGAAGUCCCUCGCGGAUGGAGCUGAAAUCAGUCGAAGAUACCAGCUGGCUGCAACUGUUUAUUAAAAACACAGCACUGUGCAAACACGAAAGUGGACGUAUACGGUGUGACGCCUGCCCGGUGCCGGAAGGUUAAUUGAUGGGGUCAGCGCAAGCGAAGCUCUUGAUCGAAGCCCCGGUAAACGGCGGCCGUAACUAUAACGGUCCUAAGGUAGCGAAAUUCCUUGUCGGGUAAGUUCCGACCUGCACGAAUGGCGUAAUGAUGGCCAGGCUGUCUCCACCCGAGACUCAGUGAAAUUGAACUCGCUGUGAAGAUGCAGUGUACCCGCGGCAAGACGGAAAGACCCCGUGAACCUUUACUAUAGCUUGACACUGAACAUUGAGCCUUGAUGUGUAGGAUAGGUGGGAGGCUUUGAAGUGUGGACGCCAGUCUGCAUGGAGCCGACCUUGAAAUACCACCCUUUAAUGUUUGAUGUUCUAACGUUGACCCGUAAUCCGGGUUGCGGACAGUGUCUGGUGGGUAGUUUGACUGGGGCGGUCUCCUCCUAAAGAGUAACGGAGGAGCACGAAGGUUGGCUAAUCCUGGUCGGACAUCAGGAGGUUAGUGCAAUGGCAUAAGCCAGCUUGACUGCGAGCGUGACGGCGCGAGCAGGUGCGAAAGCAGGUCAUAGUGAUCCGGUGGUUCUGAAUGGAAGGGCCAUCGCUCAACGGAUAAAAGGUACUCCGGGGAUAACAGGCUGAUACCGCCCAAGAGUUCAUAUCGACGGCGGUGUUUGGCACCUCGAUGUCGGCUCAUCACAUCCUGGGGCUGAAGUAGGUCCCAAGGGUAUGGCUGUUCGCCAUUUAAAGUGGUACGCGAGCUGGGUUUAGAACGUCGUGAGACAGUUCGGUCCCUAUCUGCCGUGGGCGCUGGAGAACUGAGGGGGGCUGCUCCUAGUACGAGAGGACCGGAGUGGACGCAUCACUGGUGUUCGGGUUGUCAUGCCAAUGGCACUGCCCGGUAGCUAAAUGCGGAAGAGAUAAGUGCUGAAAGCAUCUAAGCACGAAACUUGCCCCGAGAUGAGUUCUCCCUGACUCCUUGAGAGUCCUGAAGGAACGUUGAAGACGACGACGUUGAUAGGCCGGGUGUGUAAGCGCAGCGAUGCGUUGAGCUAACCGGUACUAAUGAACCGUGAGGCUUAACCUUAC